rnacentral:rRNA from 1 species
AUCAACGCUGGCGGCGUGCCUAACACAUGCAAGUCGAGCGAGAAAGGGGCUUCGGCCCUGAGUACAGCGGCGCACGGGUGAGUAACACGUGGAUAACCUGCCUCGAAGUGGGGGAUAACACCGGGAAACCGGUGCUAAUACCGCAUAAUCUGACGAGAUCUGCGGAUUUUGUCAGCAAAGGAGCAAUUCGCUUUGAGAGGGGUCCGCGGCUGAUUAGCUAGUUGGUGAGGUAAUGGCUCACCAAGGCAACGAUCAGUAGCCGGUCUGAGAGGACGGUCGGCCGCACUGGAACUGAGACACGGUCCAGACUCCUACGGGAGGCAGCAGUGGGGAAUUUUUGGCAAUGGGCGAAAGCCUGACCAAGCAACGCCGCGUGGAUGAUGAAGUAUCUCGGUACGUAAAAUCCUUUCGACGGGGACGAAGCCGCAAGGUUGACGGUACCCGUAGAAGAAGCCCCGGCUAACUCCGU